CAUUACGCGUUGUCGCGUUAAAUAUUCCAUAAAUGUAUAAAGAGGCGCUUUAUAUUUUCUCAUAUUAUGUGCAUCGCUGCAGCUUGCAACAAUCCACAAACACACAAAGAUCCGCAGUUUAUUUAUAAGACGAUAAAGUUAAAAACGGCUUACCAGAGUUAGGUCCAGGAAGUCUAGGAGAUCUUUGCUCGAUGCUGUGGUGGAAGGGAUUGAAGGCCGACGCACCAGCUGCCGGAGGAUGUGUAUGCGAAUGGUGACCGGGAGGCGGCGGAAGACAGUGCGGCGGAAGAGAGCCCCGAGAGUCAAUUUCGCAUCCAAUAAAAAAUCGAACGCCACGUUUAAAAGGAAUCAAUCUUGGCCCAGGAUGAAUAUAGAACGUGAGGAACGACCGCAAUAAAUAGCAACGAGACUGAAAAAGAAACGCACUCUGGAGGAGAUGUGGAAAUGUUAUAUAAUGUCAGGUGGAUAAACGAUCGCCGGAUGACAGAUAGAGGUACAGAAACGCUUCUCUUUGACGUAGCGAACGUUUGACGUGGAUGGACAGUUAAAUUUAUCCAACAGAGAAUAGAGAAACGAUCGAUCACCUUUCUUUUUUAUUUCAAUUCUAGCCGAUACCGGGCGACCAU
rnacentral:misc_RNA from 1 species